UGGAGGUUUAGCUCAGCUGGGAGAGCACCUGCCUUACAAGCAGGGGGUCAGCGGUUCGAACCCGUUAACCUCCAU
rnacentral:tRNA from 1 species